CGCACAGCUAUGUCGAUUAAAUCAACUAAUCGAUUAGUCGACAAAAUCAUGUAAGUGGUUAGUCAAGUAAGAAUUUCUUUAGUCGAGGACAGCCCUAAGACCUUCAC